GCAUAUCAAUAAGCGGAAGAAAAAGAAACCACAGGGAUUGCCCUAGUAACGGCGAGUGAAGCGGCAACAGCUCAAAUUUGAAAUCUGGCGUCUUCGGCGUCCGAGUUGUAAUUUGCAGAGGGCGCUUUGGCAUUGGCAGCGGUCCAAGUUCCUUGGAACAGGACGUCACAGAGGGUGAGAAUCCCGUACGUGGUCGCUAGCCUUUACCGUGUAAAGCCCCUUCGACGAGUCGAGUUGUUUGGGAAUGCAGCUCUAAAUGGGAGGUAAAUUUCUUCUAAAGCUAAAUACUGGCCAGAGACCGAUAGCGCACAAGUAGAGUGAUCGAAAGAUGAAAAGCACUUUGGAAAGAGAGUUAAAAAGCACGUGAAAUUGUUGAAAGGGAAGCGCUUGCAGCCAGACUUGCCUGUAGUUGCUCAUCCGGGUUUCUACCCGGUGCACUCUUCUAUGGGCAGGCCAGCAUCAGUUUGGGCGGUUGGAUAAAGGUCUCUGUCAUGUACCUCUCUUCGGGGAGAACUUAUAGGGGAGACGUCAUGCAACCAGCCUGGACUGAGGUCCGCGCAUCUGCUAGGAUGCUGGCGUAAUGGCUGUAAGCGGCCCGUCUUGAAACACGGACCAAGGAGUCUAACAUCUAUGCGAGUGUUUGGGUGUCAAGCCCGAGCGCGUAAUGAAAGUGAACGGAGGUGGGAACCUUUCGGGGUGCACCAUCGACCGAUCCUGAUGUCUUCGGAUGGAUUUGAGUAAGAGCAUAGCUGUUGGGACCCGAAAGAUGGUGAACUAUGCUUGAAUAGGGUGAAGCCAGAGGAAACUCUGGUGGAGGCUCGCAGCGGUUCUGACGUGCAAAUCGAUCGUCAAAUUUGGGCAUAGGGGGCGAAAGACUAAUCGAACUAUCUAGUAGCUGGGUUCCUGCCGAG
rnacentral:rRNA from 1 species